AGUAAGCAUUUAGCUUCCGUGGGAAAUUAUUGGAUCCUCACCGGAGUAGGCUGCACUUUGCAACGAUUGAGGCUCUAAUGUGUACUCGAUUUUGGAUUAAGGAUGUCAUAUGCAAAGGUAACUUGUUGCUUUAAAAAUUUUAAAUGUUUUGGAAUUUAUUAAAGGACUAAACCCUAAAAAUUAUGCAUUGCCGACUUGGGAUAUGAAAAUGAAGCUACUGCUGCUGUUCAAGGCUUGGAGAGUUAUUAAUCAGCCCUAACAAUGGACGAUGAAAGUUGGGAAGAGUUUGAAAAAGGAG
rnacentral:lncRNA from 1 species